GAAUUGACGGGGGCCCGCACAAGCAGUGGAGCAUGUGGUUUAAUUCGAAGCAACGCGAAGAACCUUACCAGGGCUUGACAUCCCUCUGACCGGUGUAGAGAUACACCUUCCCUUCGGGGCAGGGGAGACAGGUGGUGCAUGGUUGUCGUCAGCUCGUGUCGUGAGAUGUUGGGUUAAGUCCCGCAACGAGCGCAACCCUUGUCGUUAGUUGCCAGCACUUUGGGUGGGCACUCUAACGAGACUGCCGGUGACAAAUCGGAGGAAGGUGGGGACGACGUCAAAUCAUCAUGCCCCUUAUGUCCUGGGCUACACACGUACUACAAUGGCGACUACAGAGGGAAGCAAGACCGCGAGGUGGAGCAAAUCCCGAAAAGUCGUCCCAGUUCGGAUUGCAGGCUGCAACUCGCCUGCAUGAAGUCGGAAUUGCUAGUAAUGGCAGGUCAGCAUACUGCCGUGAAUACGUUCCCGGGCCUUGUACACACCG
rnacentral:rRNA from 1 species